rnacentral:rRNA from 1 species
GACGAACGCUGGCGGCGUGCUUAACACAUGCAAGUCGAGCGGAGCGGCGAACGGGUGAGUAACGCGUGAGUAACUGCCCCCAUCUCUGGGAUAACAGUUGGAAACGGCUGCUAAUACCGGAUAGUGGGGGAUGACUCGCGUCCUAUCAGCUUGUUGGUGGGGUAGUGGCCUACCAAGGCGACGAAGGGUAGCCGGCCUGAGAGGGCGACAGGGCACAAUGGGCUGAGGGACGGCGCAAAAGGCUACGGGGGGCAGCGGUGGGGAAUAUGGGGCAAUGGGGGAAACCCUGAUGCAGCAACGCCGCGUGGGGGAUGACGGCCUUCGGGUUGUAAACCGCUUUCAGCCAUGACGCGGUAGUGGCAGAAGAAGCACCGGCUAACUACGUGCCAGCAGCCGCGGUAAUUC